rnacentral:rRNA from 1 species
GAUGAACGCUAGCGGCAGGCUUAACACAUGCAAGUCGAGGGGCAGCAUGAGACGGAGAUUCGUCAAAGUCUUGAUGGCGACCGGCGCGAGGGUGCGUAACGCGUGAGCAACUUGCCCGUUUCUGGGGAAUAACCGGUGGAAACGCCGACUAAUACCCCAUAGCAUAACGAAGAGGCAUCUCUUUGUUAUUAAAGAAUUUCGGAAACGGAUAGGCUCGCGUGACAUUAGCUAGAUGGCGGGGUAACGGCCCACCAUGGCGACGAUGUCUAGGGGUUCUGAGAGGAAGGUCCCCCACACUGGAACUGAGACACGGUCCAG